rnacentral:lncRNA from 1 species
UAGGAAAAGCCUCAUUCAAUAUCCUAUUUUAACAACUCUGAAAAUUGAAAAGGACUUUUGUCAUUGUCAUUGUUGUUGUUGAUUUUAGCUUUUUAAGAACUUCUUUAGUACUCAGAAUACAGAGUUCUGCUAUCCACCACGGAGUAGGGAAAAGGAAAUGCUGACCUAAGAGCUGUCUACCAGCUGCACAUGGAAACAAGAAGAUAAAGUUCUGUAUUGGACACGGGUGAUGGGGAAAGCUUAGGGAUGAGAUGGUAUAGCUCGGGGCUAUCACAAACCACAUAGGGAAUACCCGUGCUGGAAGAAGCCAGAGGGUGGAGGAGCAACAGCUACAAGGAGACAGAGAAAAAGCACUUUGGAGACUCCUGCAGCCCAACUGUCACAGAGGAGAUUCCAAAAGCAUCUGGAAGUGCUAGCAGAUGUGAAGAGCCUUCCAGGUUGGGACAAGGAGGAGAAAGAGUGUGUUACAACUAGAGGCCAUGGUGAAUCAGCAAGCAGAUGAUACAGACCCAGUAGGAACAGGGUUGUGACUGAGACCUGGCAGAAUGAGAUACACCUUAGUGGUGCCCCGUAAGAACACGUAAUGGGCUAGGACUCAGGCCCACCUCCUUGCACAACCCGCCUCCACUCCAGCCAGGAGCCACCAUAGACUUCUGCACCUUGAUGCUGCCCCAGAGGAAGAGAAGCCAAAUUCAGGGUAGCCAAGAGGGCAGAACACGCAGAUGAAGCUGGCACAAAUGUGGGAGAUUCACAACGUGUCCUAGAGGGGCAGUGAAGAACACUCUGCUUGAGGACCUCGUUGAAGAUGAAUGAUGCAGUGUCCUACAGCUUUCCCAGGACAGUAUGUUCAGAGACCUGGAGGGAUGUGGGAUUCUUACUUAACCGGUAUCCAGGUGCUGGGUUCUGAGGAUAAGAUGUCGUCCAUGACUUUGAGGAACUCACAGUCUGGAUUCCAUGCCCCUCCAGUGACCAUUAGUGGAGAAGAAUGCAAAAAAGAGUGCUCAUCAAGUGCUUCAAAUGUUGCUUUCUCAUUUCUCACUGUGAACUCUCUAAAGGCAACGACUGAGUCUUGUCCUUGUAAACGGCACAUUGUUGGUACCUGGUAAAGAAAUAAAAGAAUAAGGAUUCUAAUCUGAAAGGAA